GAUGAACGCUGACAGAAUGCUUAACACAUGCAAGUCUACUUGAAUUUGGGUUUUUUAACUUAGAUUUGGGUGGCGGACGGGUGAGUAACGCGUAAAGAACUUGCCUCACAGUUAGGGACAACAUUUGGAAACGAAUGCUAAUACCUGAUAUUAUGAAUAUAUGGCAUCAUAUAAUUAUGAAAGCUAUAAGCGCUGUGAGAGAGCUUUGCGUCCCAUUAGCUAGUUGGAGAGGUAACGGCUCACCAAGGCGAUGAUGGGUAGCCGGCCUGAGAUGGUGAACGGCCACAAGGGGACUGAGACACGGCCCUUACUCCUACGGGAGGCAGCAGUGGGGAAUAUUGGACAAUGGACCAAGAGUCUGAUCCAGCAAUUCUGUGUGCACGAUGACGUUUUUCGGAAUGUAAAGUGCUUUCAGUUGGGAAGAAAAAAAUGACGGUACCAACAGAAGAAGUGACGGCUAAAUACGUG
rnacentral:rRNA from 1 species